GGGACCUCCGAGACAGAGGCUACAUCCCACUCAAAGGUCAGGAAAUUUUCGCUUCAAAUUAACCACGAAAAAUCAAUCUUCAAAUUAGUUAACGAAUUCUGCAAAUUUCUCUGUCACCGUCAGAUGCGAGCUACCUGACGAACGGCUACCUGGAGCGGGUGCUGCGGCACGGCGCCAUGGGGUGCUUCGCGACGCACAACGACUGGAACUCCACCAGCGAGAGCUUGGCCGCCGGCGUGCCCAUGGUGUGCUGGCCUGACGUGCGGGCCCCACCUGUAAGAAAUAGUGUCAAACGAGUUUAAACCCGUGUUUUGGGUGGACUGAGACAAUUGGACACAAAAGUUGUGGUUCUGUGGACACAUUAGCUCUACCGGUGCUCCGUGAGAAGGCUGCCUCAAAAUCCGUGGUUCUAUGAAAUUUACUCUUAUUAUUGCAACAUG
rnacentral:lncRNA from 1 species